rnacentral:rRNA from 1 species
GGCUUUAAGAUUAUAAUUUUAAGUUGGGUCUGCUCAAUGAUUAUUUAAUUUAAUAGCUGCAGUAUAUUGACUGUACAAAGGUAGCAUAAUAAAUAGUUUUUUAAUUAAAAGCUAGAAUGAAAGAUUUAAUGAAAUUUUAACUGUCUCAGAUUUAUUAAUAAAAUUUUUUUUAUUAAUUAAAAAAUUAAUAUGAAUUUAAAAGACGAGAAGACCCUAUAGAUUUUAAUUAAUAUAAUUUUAUUAGAUAAUUUAUUUUAAUUAUUAUAAAUAAAUAUUAAUUUAAUUGGGGAGAUUUUUAAAUUAAUUUAACUUUAAUUUAAUUUAAACAUUAAUUUAUGGUUAUUUGAUCUUGAAUUUUGGGUUAUAAGAAUAAAAUACCUUAGGGAUAACAGCGUAAUAUUAUUGGAAAGGUCAUAUUUAUAGUAAUGAUUGC